AAAACAGUUAGUCAUAAUCCAUUAGAAGAUAUUAAAGAAUCUGUUUUAAAUAAAUCAGAUACAUUUUCUUCUUUACCACAGUCUGAAAGUGGUAGUGACGAAUUCUCUAUAACUGCAUCUACAGAUAGUAACAAUAACCAAGAUAAUGAUUUUGAAAAACAAGCAAACAUUGCAAGUUUAGAAGUAGCACGAUAUAGUAGUAAUAGUGGUAGUGGCAGUAGUAGUGGUAGUGGUAAUGGCAGUAGUAGUGGUAGUGGUAAUGGCAGUAGUAGUGGUAAACGCGGUUUAAAACACAGAAGCAAACUUUGUGACAUUAUGUCUCAAUCAAAAUUAUUAAAUAAAAAAAAUUCAAAACAUAAAUUAAAAUAUAUAAAUACAUUAGCUACUAUUCCCAGCAAUCGGUCGUGUUAUCAUUCUUCUGAUAAAAUAAAAAACGAACUAAACUUUAGUUUAAUUCAUAAAAAUUCCGGAGACCAAUAUGAUCAUUUGGAUAGUUCGUCUGUUGUACCUGAAGAAAGUGAUUGUAGUGGGGAUAGGUAUAAAGAGCUAACCAUAGAAAAAGAGUUAAUAAAUAAAAAAAAAAUAAAUGUAAAUAAUGAUAAUAAAAUUUGUAAUAAAUACAGUUACAGAGGUAGCAAUACAUAUAGAGAAGAUAAAAUAAAUGAAAAAAAUGAAGAAAAUGAAGAAAGUGAAGAUAGAUAUGAGCAUAUGUACAAAAAAGAUACAGAUUCAAGAAUAGAUGAAAAUACUAGUUAUACAAAAAAUAAACAACAACCAGAUGGUUUAAGUUUGUAUGACCUUGAAAGUGACCAAUCGAGAGACGAACCGAGUGAUCACGCAUGUCACACACGUUUAGACCUAACUAAUAAAUUAAAUUUAUUAAAAAAAAAUCGGACAAAUUUGAUAAUGUUGGAAAAAGGGGAGAAGAAGAAAAUGGAUUUAAAACCUCUUAUUUAAUAACAAAAAAAUUUGAGAACAAUCUUAAUAUACAUUAUGAUUCUAACACUACUACUAAUACUACCGCUAUUACUACUAAUACUACCACUAUUACUACUAAUAGUAAUAAUAAGAAUGACAGUAUUGGUAGCAGUGGUAUUGGUGUUAGCAAUAACCACCAAAUGAAUUAUGGCUUAACUUACUUUACAAACAUAAAUAUAAAUAAUAAUGAAAAUUCGAACAAAUUAGAAGAAAAAAGUUACUUUUAUAAUAAUAUAAAAAGAGAAAGUGACAUUAAUACAAAUAAUAUAUUUUUAAAUAGAAAUGAUGGUUUUAAUGUUAUUAACAAAUUUCAACAUGAUAUUUUAAAUGCUCAAUCAUUAAAAAAUGAACAAACAAAUGAACAAACAAAUGAACAAACAA
rnacentral:lncRNA from 1 species